AUUGAACGCUGGCGGCAUGCCUUACACAUGCAAGUCGAACGGUAACGGGCCUUCGGGUGCCGACGAGUGGCGAACGGGUGAGUAAUACAUCGGAACGUGCCCGAUCGUGGGGGAUAACGAGGCGAAAGCUUUGCUAAUACCGCAUACGAUCUACGGAUGAAAGCAGGGGACCGCAAGGCCUUGCGCGGACGGAGCGGCCGAUGGCAGAUUAGGUAGUUGGUGGGAUAAAAGCUUACCAAGCCGACGAUCUGUAGCUGGUCUGAGAGGAUGAUCAGCCACACUGGGACUGAGACACGGCCCAGACUCCUACGGGAGGCAGCAGUGGGGAAUUUUGGACAACGGGCGCAAGCCUGAUCCAGCCAUGCCGCGUGCAGGAUGAAGGCCUUCGGGUUGUAAACUGCUUUUGUACGGAACGAAAAGCCUUCUUUUAAUACAGGAGGGUCAUGACGGUACCGGAAGAAUAAGCACCGGCUAACUACGUG
rnacentral:rRNA from 1 species